rnacentral:rRNA from 1 species
UACAGAGGUGGCAAGCGUUGUUCGGAAUUACUGGGCGUAAAGGGCUCGUAGGCGGCCAACUAAGUCAGACGUGAAAUCCCUCAGCUUAACCGGGGAACUGCGUCUGAUACUGGAUGGCUAGAGUUUGGGAGAGGGAUGCGGAAUUCCAGGUGUAGCGGUGAAAUGCGUAGAUAUCUGGAGGAACACCGGUGGCGAAGGCGGCAUCCUGGACCAACACUGACGCUGAGGAGCGAAAGCCAGGGGAGCAAACGGG